rnacentral:tRNA from 1 species
GUGGCUGUAGCUUAGCGGUAGAGCACUUGUCUUUUAUGCAAGAUUUCUGAGUUUGAUCCCCAAUACCACC